AUCGCUUCUCGGCCUUUUGGCUAAGAUCAAGUGUAGUAUCUGUUCAACAUUCAUUCAACUGGUCAACUAAAAUUCCCUAAUCACCCACC
rnacentral:snRNA from 1 species